rnacentral:rRNA from 1 species
UACGUAGGGGGCAAGCGUUGUCCGGAAUCAUUGGGCGUAAAGAGCGUGUAGGCGGCUCGGUAAGUCCGCUGUGAAAGUCCAGGGCUCAACCCUGGAAUGCCGGUGGAAACUGUCGAGCUAGAGUCCGGAAGAGGCGAGUGGAAUUCCUGGUGUAGCGGUGGAAUGCGUAGAGAUCCGGAGGAAGACCGGUGGCGAAGGCGGUCUGCUGGGCGAGUUUCUGACACUGAUGCGCGACAGCGUGGGGAG